rnacentral:rRNA from 1 species
GAAAAAAACACAUCCUUUUGCUUUUAUUGUUUCCUAUUUAAGCAACCAAGCGCUGAAAACUAUGGUAUUGAAGCAUUCACGAAAAAUGGAUUUAAAUCUUGGAAGGAUGGGGCUAAAGUUUUCAAUCAGCAUGUUGGCAAGCAUGAUAGUGCUCAUAAUAAAUCUAGGCAACAUUAUGAGGAUUUAAAAAAUCAAAGACAAAAUUUGCCACAUGUGUUUGAUAGGGGUUCUAAUAAGAAAGAAGAAGAAUACAAAGCUCGUCUCUUGAUUAUAAUGGGUAUUGUCAAAUUUUUGCUACUACAAGCUCUUGCCUUUCGUGGUCAUGAUGAGUCUACUAGCUCAAUGAAUAAGGGUAACUUUAGAGAGUUGUUGGACUUGUUCAUAAAGAAAGACCCAAAGGUUAUCGCACACGCAAUGACAUUUUGCCUCGUCCUAGCCGUAAGUUUUUAG